GACGAACGCUGGCGGCGUGCUUAACACAUGCAAGUCGAACGGAAAGGCCUCUUUCGGGGGGUACUCGAGUGGCGAACGGGUGAGUAACACGUGAGUAACCUGCCCUUGACUUUGGGAUAACUUCAGGAAACUGGGGCUAAUACCGGAUAGGAGCUCCUGCUGCAUGGUGGGGGUUGGAAAGUUUCGGCGGUUGGGGAUGGACUCGCGGCUUAUCAGCUUGUUGGUGGGGUAGUGGCUUACCAAGGCCUUGACGGGUAGCCGGCCUGAGAGGGUGACCGGCCACAUUGGGACUGAGAUACGGCCCAGACUCCUACGGGAGGCAGCAGUGGGGAAUAUUGCACAAUGGGUGGAAGCCUGAUGCAGCAACGCCGUGUGCGGGAUGACGGCCUUCGGGUUGUAAACCGCUUUCGCUCAUGACGAAGCUUUGUGUGACGGUAGUGGGUAAAGAAGCACCGGCUAACUACGUG
rnacentral:rRNA from 1 species